AAUGUGUUCUGGUGUAGUCUUGGUCUUCAAACCCGCCGUUUGGCUG
rnacentral:tRNA from 12 species